rnacentral:rRNA from 1 species
UACAGAGGGUGCGAGCAUUAAUCGGAAUUACUGGGCGUAAAGCGCACGUAGGCGGCUUGGUAUGUCGGGUGUGAAAUCCCCGGGCUCAACCUGGGAACUGCAUCCGAAACUGCCUUGCUCGAGUAUGGGAGAGGGAAGUGGAAUUUCCGGUGUAGCGGUGAAAUGCGUAGAUAUCGGAAGGAACAUCAGUGGCGAAGGCGACUUCCUGGACCAAUACUGACGCUCAGGUGCGAAAGCGUGGGGAGCAAACAGG